rnacentral:snRNA from 17 species
AGCUUUGCGCAGUGGCAGUAUCGUAGCCAAUGAGGUUUAUCCGAGGCGCGAUUAUUGCUAAUUGAAAACUUAGUUUCUUUCUUUC